rnacentral:rRNA from 1 species
CCCAGUGACUUUGUUCAACGGCCGCGGUAUCCUAACCGUGCGAAGGUAGCGUAAUCACUUGUUCUUUAAAUGAGGACUAGUAUGAAUGGCCCUACGAGGGCUGCACUGUCUCCUUUUUCUAAUCAAUGAAACUAAUCUCCCCGUGAAGAAGCGGGAAUUAUCCUAUAAGACGAGAAGACCCUAUGGAGCUUUAAACAAUUGAAACAUUUGCUUUCCUCCUAACUCCUCCCGAGCUCUUUAUUUUUAUUUAAGCAUUAUUAUUUCUAGUUUUAGGUUGGGGUGACCACGGAGCAAAACUAAACCUCCAUGAAGAAAUGAAUAUUUUUAAGCCACAAACUACUUUUUUAAGCAUCAACAAAUUGACCUUCAUUGACCCAAUAUAUUGAUCAACGAACCAAGUUACCCUAGGGAUAACAGCGCAAUCUACUUCAAGAGCUCAUAUCGACAAGUAGGUUUACGACCUCGAUGUUGGAUCAGGGUAUCCUAGUGGUGCAGCCGCUACUAAUGGUUCGUUUGUUCAACGAUUAAAACCCU